CAGUGAGUCGAGAUCUCGCCCCUGCACUCCAGCUUGGCGGCAGAGCGAGACUCCAUCAAAAAAAAAAAGCUAGUGCAAACAUGGCAGUCUUUCAGCUUAGCCCCGCAGAAAAGAAAGUGAUUUUCCCAGGAACUCUUAUCUUAUGUAGUCUGAACUUUUCCUCAAAGCUGUCUGAUAGUGUCGUAGCCGUGACGGAGAAGGCCGUGGGGCCUGGAAUCUCCUUGCUGUGCUCUGUGGCCCCGGCCCUCUGUGGACGCGUGAUGCGAGAGUUUUUAAAGAGUAACUUUCUUUUGUCCUUCUUCAUGAUAUAGACCCCAGUCCCUCCUUUAAAAUACCGGCUCGUGCUGUAAUUUCCACUUUGCCUUUUGCCCUUUGACCAUCUGUGUGACAAGAAAGCCAUUCCGAUGGUUCAGUAAGCACCCGCUGAGGCUGGCUCCCCUCAGGUCCAGCUCGACGUGCUGGUGGGGACAGCCCACCCUCUGCUGUGUGCCAUGAUCCCAGCUGGAGCUGCUGCACACCCAGAGGGAGCCGCCUCAGUCACACGCCAGCAGACAGGUGCAAAUGGAGUGAUGCAGACAGAAAGAAAGCAAAUCACACCUCAAGAUUUAUUUUCUUUCUAGAAACACCCGCCGGGCAGCAGAGGUCUGGAUGGAUGAAUACAAAAAUUUCUAUUAUGCAGCAGUGCCUUCCGCUAGAAACGUUCCUUAUGGAAAUAUUCAGAGCAGAUUGGAGCUUAGGAAGAAACUCAGCUGCAAGCCUUUCAAAUGGUACCUUGAAAAUGUCUAUCCAGAGUUAAGGUAAGUCCCCAGGGAUCUGGGGUUUCACUUUGUAAGGGCUUAGAAGCCAGUAAGGCCAUAGAAGCAGCAGAGGGGAAAUGGAGGUGGGGCUGCAGGCAUGAGACUGGGCACCUGGGCCCCAGUGAGAGCCUGUGGUCUCACUCCAUGGUGUGGAGCUGAGAAUCUGCUCCCAAGUUGGCCUGCUGCUCUCUCUGUCCUGCAGAGCUGCCCUCCCAUGCUUCAGAGUCCCAGAGGCAGUCCCCGGGCCUCACCUUGUUUUUGGCUUGUUCUCCAUUGGCAAGGUGAUGGGCUGGGUGACCUGAAGGACUGGUGUCUGACAGGCUCUUCGAGUGACUGGGAGCAGUCCCCAGCCUCCGCAAGCAUGCAGUGUCUGCAGCCAGCCCUCGAUCCCCCCGCCAGGCGCCUUUGCAUGCCUCUGAUCUGCUGCGCUCACCCUUGCUGCUCCUGUGGGCCAGCAGAUAACGGCCCCCACGAGGCUCGGAGCACGGGGACCUGACCACGUGCCUCCCUCCUCCCAGCUGGGUUAAUCACAUGUGAAACGGAAGUAAUAAUGCUGCUGCCCCGCGUCCCUCCGGAGGAUUCAUGGCAGAAACACCUUUCUGAGCAUUAUUUCCACACCCAGCCUCUUGUUUUAAGCGAAUACGAGCUCCCCAUCUGGAGGGACCUGCUGAUAACCUCGUGAGAAGACCUAUAGAUCCGCUGGGGUGGAGGAGCCAUCUGCACUUCAUCUUCUUAAAGGGACUGUCAGGCAGGUCGUGCCUUAAUGCGGCACAUUCCUUAUUCUAAAUAUUCCCAGAGCAUUUUACAACGGCUCACAUAUCUCCAGCACAGUGCCUGCGAACGCAAGACUUGCCACCAUUAUCUUUCCGCUAACAGCUCCUUCAGAGCCCUUGUCACGGAGAUUUGUUGGACAGUUAGGUAAUGCGGCCUCUCUCUGUUGCUCCUGUUCGCUCACUUGGCUCUUUGGAACCGUUUCCUCUGCUUUUCAAGUAACAUGCCAGGCGCCAGGUGGCCCAUGCCCCCUAGGAGGAGAACAGGAGAGAACACAGCGUCCUUCUCCCUCGGAUCCCUGCCAUGCAGGACAGCUUUUGCUGGGGAUUAAGAGCACCAGAUGGUCACCAGCGAUGGUCACCUGCAGCGGGAAGGGUGCACUGGUCACAGUUGCUGGUUGCAGGGCCCUGGUCUUCUUCCUGCCAGCUCUGUCCUCUUGGCCAUGUGCACUCAACCCCAAAGCACCCAUUCUGCCUCUGCGUCUGGCCCCAGAAUAUGAUGUCUACACCUCCUGCCUGGUGUCCCUAUACAACAGAUUCUUAACUGUGGGCACUAAGGCGGCUGCUCAUCAACUCUCCGUCAGCCAAAGAGGGGUUUCAAUUCAGUGGAUUUUAACCCAACCAUGCCACUCACUUUGCUUUUUCAGUCACAGUUGACUGCUGUUUCUCACAGAGGUCACCCAUGGUUUGUAGUGACACUGGGCCCUGCACCCACUGAAGACCACAUCUGAGGCACUGAGCACCAUCCCGGCUGGCAAAUCUGCUUCCCCUGCCUGUGGGGGGUGAGGGAGACAUCAGCCUCGUGUUUUGUGUCUGUAAUAUCACUGCCGUUUACUGAGUGCCUCCUACAAGCCAGGCACUGGGCCGCAUGCUUUACACGAAAUGUUUUAUGUAACACUUGCAGCAGAUCUGGGUAGCUCGUAGCCUACCAAAGGGCAAAUGGAGCUUCAGAGAAAGUGAGUCUUGCCUGAAAGCCAGCACCUGGCAGAGGUGGGCUGAGGUUUGGAUCUGGUUCUGAAGCACGUUGUUCUUCCCUGUGGCUGUGGCUUUGUUCACAUUAGGCCACCUGACAAGUCUACCCACCUUUCCCGUCUUUACUGGAUAAAGGUCAGAUCCUAAGUGUAUUGGAAAGUUCAAGGCAACAGGAUCUGGCCACAUUGAUUUUCUAAAUGACUUCCAAUAAGACUAACAUUGAAGAGUAUCAGGAGCUUUUCCUUCCUUUCC
rnacentral:sRNA from 1 species